AGUGAACGCUGGCGGUAGGCCUAACACAUGCAAGUCGAACGGCAGCACAGUAAGAGCUUGCUCUUACGGGUGGCGAGUGGCGGACGGGUGAGGAAUACAUCGGAAUCUACUUUUUCGUGGGGGAUAACGUAGGGAAACUUACGCUAAUACCGCAUACGACCUACGGUUGAAAGCAGGGGAUCUUCGGACCUUGCGCGAUUGAAUGAGCGGAUGUCGGAUUAGCUAGUUGGCGGGGUAAAGGCCCACCAAGGCGACGAUCCGUAGCUGGUCUGAGAGGAUGAUCAGCCACACUGGAACUUAGACACGGUCCAGACUCCUACGGGAGGCAGCAGUGGGGAAUAUUAGACAAUAGGCGCAAGCCUUAUCCAGCCAUACCGCGUGUGUGAAGAAAGCCUUCGGUUUGUAAAGCCCUUUUGUUGGGAAAGAAAAGCAGCAGGUUAAUACCCCGCUGUUCUGACGGUACCCAAAAAAUAAGCACCGGCUAACUUCGUG
rnacentral:rRNA from 1 species